AAGACUACACUUCCAGGGAUCAUUUCUAUAGUAUACUAUACUAGAGAAGUUUCUCUAAUCAUGUAGAGCACCCAAAACCAUGAAGAGGAGUUAGAGCAUCCUCUCCUGAGCAUGAAGCCGGUUCUAGGUGUUGCUUUUGUGACUGCCUUUUGCCAUUGAUGAUCAUUCUUCUCUUCUUUUGGAAGAAUUGAAGGGAGAAAAUGCAGUCUGAGUG